rnacentral:lncRNA from 1 species
AUAUUUGUUAAAAAAAAGGUCCAUGUAAAAGGAUAAAUCGGGUAGAGCACUUUGGAUCACAAGAAUAAUAUGGGCCCAACUUUACACGAACAUUAGGCCAAAUCCAAUUAAGCCCAACAACUAACCUACAAUUUAAUAUGUUGAAGUGGAUGAAAUUAAUUAUGUAGGUCAGAGAAAGUACCAAUUGCCAUUCAAAAUAGCCUGUAGAAGUCGGCUGAGAGACCAUUUCUAACCCAACCAACACGCCACCAUCACAUCUUCCCUCAAUCAAAUUCCAUCAAAUUAAUGCUAAGCACAAAGGAAAAUAAAUGCCGAAGACCUUCCAUCGUCGGGCGACCUCACUGGAGACCACAAAAUGCUACGGUUGCCUCAACAAUAAUGGGUGUCACUUGUUCGGUUAUUGGAGUAGUUUGGGAUGUCGAGAGUGCCGGUGACCGCCUCAACACCCUUGUAGGAUGUGGUGAAAUGCGGGGCUGACUAAAUAGUGGUUGUUGCUCCAUUCGGUGAUUGGCAAAGUUGUCAUCUGAAGCUAUGGUGGGCCAUGGAUGCUUCACAGUUUUGACGAGUAAAGUCGGCAGCGACGGAGAUGGUUGGAUGUCGAAAAAUCCAAUUUGUUUUUCCUUGUACAUCAAAGCUUUAUGGAGAGAUUCUAUAUUUUGUGGUGGGACUUGCCUUAAUUUUUCUUCUCCCUGCAGCUGGGUUUCUGUUCCAUUUGGUGUUGGUCUCUUCUAAUAAAAUGGGUGAAUAUGGCUGAGACCAUGGAGCAAAACAAUGCCUCUUCCUUCGACAUGUUUUGUUUAUUGAAAUCAUUUAUCUUCCCUUAACUGUAGUUGUCAUUUUUGAAGAAAUUUCCCAAUUCCAGUAGCCUUUUUUCUUUCAUUUUGUUGUUGCUUUUUUGACCUCUUUUUGGUAGAGAACUGAUCGGAAAAAUAGAAUUUGCCGAUGGCAUUUUAUACGUGGUAUAACAUGGUUAAUGUAACGAUUCCCACGGACGGCGCCAAUCUGUUGACCUCCAAAAAUGGCUCCAACAGGCACCCUAGCUUCGUCC